CAAUGAAGAGCUUCCGCAGCUCGGUGUUGUUCUUGACGGCAGUGAGCUCGAGAUCGUAGACGUCGUAGUCAAGGAAGUUGGCCAUGGCAGCGAUCAUGGUGGACUUGCCGGUGCCAGGCGGUCCAUAAAGGAGGUACCCGCGCUUCCACGCCUUGCCGACCUUUGCAUAGUAGUCCUUGCUCUCCUGGAACGCCAUGAGAUCGUCAACGAUGGCCUCCUUCUCAUCAGGGUGCAUGGCGAGCGUGUCGAAGGUGGCGGGGUGCUCGAAGGCGACGUGGCUCCAGACGCUCUUGCUGUGGUAGGGGUUCCAGUUGCGGCUGGCGUUGUUGGUGAAGAGACGGCGCUGGCGGUUCUUGACGGUGACGGCACGACCCUCGCCGAGCACGAAGGGCAGGUAGGAGUUGACGACGAGGUCGCGGUGGCGCCUGUGGAAGACGACCUUGUAGAAGCGCCGCUCGUCCUCGCCGGGGUAGAAGCUGAUGACUUGGGCCCUGGACUGCCGCUUGGAGGCGUACCACCAGAUGGUCGUGCCGGAGAAGUCGUCGGUGACCUCGUCGUGGUCGUCAACGGUGACUCGGAGGUUCUUGCUGUCCUUGCCGAGCUCGGCCUUGAGCUUGCGUGCGCGGCGGGCGCACGCAUCGCUGAGGUAGGCCUCGACGGCGAGGAAGAAGUCGCUGCGCUGGAAGCGCUCGGCCCCGUUCUCUGAGAUGGUGAUCUCGAGGUAGGGGUUGAAGCAGGCGGCGACCUUGGCGGCCCAGGCGGUGAGGUAGAGGCGGAAGGUGGGCGGUACGUAGUUCUGCACCACGGACCAGAGGAAGAUGAUAGUCGCCAUCGCCGACCCGAACCCUGCCCACCUCUCCACCAUCAUUGCCGCCAUUGCUGCAACUGGACCUCCUGCUGUUGU
rnacentral:rRNA from 1 species